CCCAGCGUCCCACCGCCACCUCCUGCUCUAGCUGUCAAGCAUGCGUCUUCCACAGGGCUCCAAGCCAUGCCUUCCCGAGUCCGGGUGUCGCAAGAGACCCCAGAUCCCUACAGGUUCCUGAAUCAGAAAGGAACUGGAUGCCAGAGUCAAGGGGGAAUGGAGAAAAACGGACUGCUUUCUCUGGGACAACCCGCCACCCCACCCCCACCCCAAGGCUGGGACCAAGGAUGCUGAAUGUUGUUGAGUGUGGGCGGAUGCUGCGGGGCGGCAAGACAUCCGCCCUCAGGCUGAACUUGUUCACCGCCCCCUCCCCAACACCCAUGGAAACCCUAGACUGGUAGGCAGCAGUUCUGCCCAGACUCCUGGAGUGCAUCGCCUGAGCUGCUGAACUCUUGAAGACAAGGAUUGAUUUGGAACAGAACUGGCCAAGGAAGGGAAGGAGCCUGGAUGCUGCCUUUACUCUAUGUGGAAGAAUUUCAGUUCUUUAAAACCGCCCUCCUGAAAGGCACUCCACUUUGCCGUCAGGAACUCCCAGCUGGCCACCACCUUCUGCCCCUUCUGUCACUGUGCUGCUGCGCAAAGCCAGUGUUUUCCCUGGGACACGUAGCAAGUCACAGACACAGCCGUGGCUGUAACAUGAACCUCAUAAAUCGUUUACAAGACUCUCUCCAACAUCAAUGAUUUUUUGUUUUAUUUUUUUUUAUUCAAGAAUAAUCCCAGCACCUGUUUCUUCGACUGUAAUAAAGCGUCCAUCUUGCUUCAA